AUACGUAGGGGGCGAGCGUUGUCCGGAAUGAUUGGGCGUAAAGGGCGCGUAGGCGGCGCGGUAUGUCUGGAGUGAAAGUCCUGCUUUCAAGGUGGGAAUUGCUUUGGAUACUGCCGCGCUUGAGUGCAGGAGAGGUUAUCGGAAUUCCCGGUGUAGCGGUGAAAUGCGUAGAGAUCGGGAGGAACACCAGUGGCGAAGGCGGGUAACUGGACUGCAACUGACGCUGAGGCGCGAAAGUGUGGGGAGCAAACAGGAUUAGAUACCCUGGUAGUCCACACUGUAAACGAUGAAUGCUAGGUGUAAGAGGUAUCGACCCCUUUUGUGCCGGAGUCAACACAAUAAGCAUUCCGCCUGGGGAGUACGGCCGCAAGGUUGAAACUCAAAGGAAUUGGCGGGG
rnacentral:rRNA from 1 species